CUACGGCCAUAUCACGUUGAAACGCUGUUCCCGUGUGAUCAUCCAAGGUAAGCAACGUCGAGCCUGGUCAAUAUCUAGAUGGGUGACCGCUUGGGAAUACCAGAUGCUGUAAG